GACGUAGGGUGCGAGCGUUGUCCGGAUUUAUUGGGCGUAAAGAGCUCGUAGGCGGCUCGUCGCGUCAGCUGUGAAAACCCGCAGCUUAACUGUGGGCUUGCAGCUGAUACGGGCGGGCUAGAGUUCGGUAGGGGAGACUGGAAUUCCUGGUGUAGCGGUGAAAUGCGCAGAUAUCAGGAGGAACACCGGUGGCGAAGGCGGGUCUCUGGAACGGUACUGACGCUGAGACGCGAAAGCGUGGGGAGCGAACAGG
rnacentral:rRNA from 1 species